GGAGCACUAACUGGGCAGUCAUGCAAACAGUGCUUGCUCUGAGUGAGAACAGAGUUCUGGAAACCUUCAAAACUCAGCAGCACAUAAGGAGAGAGCUCUCAAAGAGCUGUAUAGGAAACUGUCAUGGGAAUGGCACCUAACAGCACUAUGUGGUGUCACAGAGAUGAAAACCCAGUCUCCUUUAGUUUGUCCUGCUUGAAAGCCUGUGAAUUGUCACUGGCUGAAAUAAGGAUGCAGGCACAAGUUUUCCCCCCUGUCCGUGCGGUACCAGUUAAUGUUGCCAUAAUUGAAAUAGCUUCUCUCUUUUCUAGUGAAACUGAGCUUUUCCCUGCCAAGUGCUUUCAUCAUUGUUCCAGAUGAGCACCUUUUCCUAGGAGGCAGGAGCUGGUGGCUGCCUGUAUUUGUGAAUGGAAUGGCAGCCUGGGCAGGUAAGCAGUGCGCACUGGGGUGAACGGUCCUGGGGGAGUUCAUGGGCAGCUCUGGGCAUGGCUGGAGAAGGAGGCAGCAGGGACAGCCCUGCUGGGCAGUCUGCACCCAUCCUCUUAGGGCUUAGCAGCAGGGAUGGGGGUGGGCUGUGGGAAGUGCACUGCAGGAGAGAACUUUGCUCCAUGUAGUCAUGAAGCCAUGGAUAGGGUUUGUGAGUGUUCUGCAAAAAAGAUCAGGCAAACCAAUUUUCCCUAACUUGAAGAGUGGUUGCCUUUUUCCAACAUUUCUCUUCUGGAGGAUGCACUGGAAGAGGCAACAUUCUGUUGCCAUAGCAGAGAAGGCAUUGAGCUUUUGGAGACGCUAGUGGAAGAUUCUUAGGGUUGAGAAGAUGGUCCCAAGGCUGGGCUGCUUGUGCCAUCCCAGUGGGGCUGGAGCCUCUCUGAACAUAGCUCCAUAAUGACAGGGAGGGGGUUUUCAGCAUCUUAGCUGUGACAUUAGGGUGAGGACCAUCAUAGGACCAGUCAGCAGCAGCUGUGCAACCUGUCCAGGAUGUAAAAAAUCUUAUCAGUAAAGGUGUGAAAUCUCAAGGGCCAGACUUCAGAAGGGAUUGCAGGUAGGGAAGCAUAAUUGUGAUCAGUGUUUUUAUUUGUAUGACAAAGGACUGGCCAUUUGCAUUUUUGUACCUUCUACAGUCUUCAAAGGUAAUAAUGUGGAAAACAUUAACAGCCCUUCUUCCACCUGCCAAGGGGACACAGCAGCAGGUAAAGCUGCCAACCCACAGGGACCCUCGGGUUAUGGCUUGCAGCCCAGGGGCUGGAGCACCCAGAUCAAUGGGAGAAAGGGAGGAAAUGAUAAGGGACGGAGCCCAGAGCCACUGAGCAGAGAAGCUGUCUGCUGUGUUGAUGUGUGAGAUGAGAUGCACCUGUUUGGUUUGAGGUUCUUCCAUCAGAGGGAAACUGGAAAGCUUUGGUGGCACUUCUCAGGUUGGUGCUAAUGAGGAGACUUGCUCCUCAUCGCAGCACUAAUGAGAGAUUAAAGCUACACUGCAGCCUUGAAACCAGAAUCAAGCUGUAUCAAAGCACCAGUCCGAAUUAAGAGCCUUUCCCAGUGGCUGGUAUUUUACAGCCCAGUGGCCAAUUUCUAAGUCGUAGAGGCCAAUUAUUUCCGAAGCCUUUGGUGUGCAGCUAAUGAAGGCUUGGAAGGACCCUUCUAAGUGUUUAUAAGCUCUGUAGGCAGCAGAGAUGUAAUGGAGGUGGCAGGCACAAUUAGCCAUCCAUAAUUCCUCCUAGCAGCUGAUUAAAGUCUCUUUAUCCGUCUUACCAAGAUCAGAAGGGCACAUAUUUGGGAAAUCAAAAAUGCAUUAGGGGCUGUCAGCCAACGCCAGGGCCUGUGUGCUGAGCCCUGGGGCAGUGGCCUGUGCCAGGAGUGGCACAGAGCUGCUGUGUGCCCCCCAUGCUGGGAAUGGGCCCAUCAUUCCUGUGGGGUGCAGCCUCCUCUGCAGCAUCAGUUGCCCCAUCCCGUUAUCCUGGCAUCCCCUUUGCCUGCGUGGAGCAGGGAGUGGGAUGGGGUGGCUCCUCUCCAGUCUCCCCGUGCAGGAAAACACCAGUGGGCUUUUAGCUGCUGCGGAAACUCGCAGGGCUGCUGGCCUCAUCGAUGCUUCACCCAACGAGUUAGGGUGUGUGAGCUGCAGCUGCCUUCCUUCACCCUUCCCGGGGCACUCCAUAACGCCCUUUGGUGGCAAUUCCAUGCCCGGGUGAACAGAGCAGGAUGAGGGUGGCCUCAGUCUGCCCAGCCCUGUGGUGAUGAUAAUUUCGGGGAAAGCGAGAGCAGAGCCCCCAGCCAGCUGCCCCGGUCCCGCGCUGGGAGCCCAAGGGGCGGCUGUGCUCCGCAGGAGCGCUCCGCGGGCCGGGGGUGCCGCGGGGCGCUGUGAGCAGGACGGGGCCGGGCUGAGCUCCUGCCAGCGCUUCCCACGGCCGCCUCCCGCCCAGCGCCCCCUCCCGCGGCCCGGGGGGCGGGGGGUCCGCACAGCCCCGCGCCGCCCCCGGGGCCCGCGGAGGGGCCGCGCUCCGCGCCCGCCCGGCCACAGCCCCGCGAUGGAGCGGGCGGCGGGCGAGGCCCGGCCCCUGCUGCCGGCGCCGGGCGGCUCCGCCGGGCUCUCCUCGCCCGGGCUCUCCUCCGCCGGCGCCGUCUUCAUCCUGCUCAAGUCUGCGCUGGGCGCGGGGCUGCUGAGCUUCCCCUGGGCCUUCGGCAGGGCCGGCGGGGCCGUGCCCGCCCUCCUGGUGGAGCUGGGCUCGCUGGUGUUCCUGGUCAGCGGGCUGGCCGUGCUGGGCUAUGCCGCGGCCCGCAGCGCCCAGCCCACCUACCAGGGCGUGGUCCGGGCCGUGUGCGGGCCGGCCGUGGGGAAGCUCUGUGAGGUCUGCUUCCUCCUCAACCUCUUCAUGAUCGCCGUGGCCCUCCUCAGGGUGGUGGGCGACCAGCUGGAGAAACUGUGUGACUCCCUGUACCCCAAGGAGACACUGAGUGGGGCCCCUCAGCUGCCCCCCUGGUACGUGGACCAGCGCUUCACCCUCUCAGCUCUCUGUGUCCUCGUCAUCUUCCCACUCUCUGUCCCCAGGGAGAUCGGCUUCCAGAAGUACUCCAGCAUCCUGGGCACGCUGGCUGCCUGCUACCUCACUCUGGUCGUCAUCCUGAAAUACUACCUGCAGGCAGAGAGCCUGCGUUUGACUGAGCCGCCCCAGCCCUCCAGGCCCUCCUCCUGGACCUCCAUCUUCAGUGUCAUUCCCACCAUCUGCUUUGGUUUCCAGUGCCACGAGGCAUGUGUGGCCAUCUACAGCAGCAUGCGCAACCAGAGCUUCUCCCACUGGGUCACCGUCUCUGUGCUCUCCAUGCUCAUUUGCCUGCUCAUCUACUCCCUCACUGCAGGGCUCUACGGCUACCUGACCUUCGGCGAGGCCGUGGCGUCCGAUGUCCUGAUGUCCUACCCAGGGAAUGACCCGCUUGUCAUUGUCGCCCGCCUGCUCUUUGGCAUCUCCAUUGUCACCAUUUACCCCAUUGUGGUGCUGCUGGGCAGAUCCGUGGUGAAGGACUUGUGGGCAGCCCCGAAGCGCGGGGCCGUGGCAGUGUCUGAGGCACACGAGCGGCGCAGCAGGGUGGCACUGACGGUCACCUGGAUGGCUGCCACGCUGGGCAUCGCCCUGUUCGUGCCCGACAUCGGCAAAGUCAUCGAGCUCAUCGGGGGCAUCAGUGCCUUCUUCAUCUUCAUCUUCCCAGGCAAGAGGCUGUGCCUCGUGUGUGUGACUGGGACCCGCAGCCUCGGGCCACGCAAAAAGUGAGUGUCUGCGUGCUCAGCGGUGGUGGGGGCAAGGGAGGGGGUAGGGACAGGGCCAGGGUGUGGUAUCCCAUGGGCCAUGGCCAGGGCAGAUCCUUGGGGUCACCCUGGUCAAGGUGGGAACCCUGCCAGGAGGGGGAUUUGCAUGUGGAGGGAAGCGCUCUACCGGGGCUGUGCCUGGGAAUGUCCCUGCAUACCACGGCUGUGUCCAGGCAUCAAGGAGGUGCCCGGGUACCAGAGUGACUUUAGGGGCAGAAGAACUGUGGGGUUUGGUGGCACUGGGGCACCCAGUGGGGACUGGGUGGUCAGGCUGGGGGUCAGAGAGGCAGGGACAGGAAGCCAUCAGGUGUUCAGUGUCUGUUGUGCCAGGGCGGCGUGCCCCCAUCACUGCUCCUCUCUGGAGGGGCUGGGGCACAGCAGCAGCCCGUGUCAGGGGGCUGACAUGGUGCUGGUGAGUUUGGGUUAGUGUGUGCUUAAGCAUGUCUAUGGUGCCCCUGGGGGAGCAGCAGAGGUUGAGGGAGGAUGGAGGUUAUGUGGGUGGAAGCAGCAGCCCAGGACAUCAUGGUCUUGGUCAGGAGGGUGCUCUGGGGACCCAUGAACAUCUGGGGAGGGGUGCCAAAGUGCUGGAGGGGCCAAGGCAGAAGGCCAGCAGGGGCAUCCAGGUGGGUGACAAGGGCUUGGAGAGGUCCCUUGGGGAGACCUGCCAGAGCAUGAGCCCAUCAUGAGGAGAAGGGACGACGUGAGCUGGGUGAUGGAGACAGUCCCAGCCUGCCCCGGACAGUCCGGGAAGGAGCACGGUGCUGAGGACCCUGCGGCAGAGCAGCAGCCGGGUUUGGGGGCUGCUCUCAUCGCCUGGGGGGUUCUCUCCGUGCUCGGCGGUGCCUUCGUGUGCGGGCAGAGCGCUGCCCUGGCCGUGCUGGGGCUGCUGCGCUGAGGGACCACAGAGCCCCGUGGUGACCCCACCGCCACCCUCCCUGUCCCGCCCCGAACGCAGCCACAUCGCUGGAUCCCACGGCGCUUUUAUUUGGCAUCACCGUCCCCGUUGUACAGUGGCUAAUAAAGACUGGAGAGGGCA